AUUGAACGCUGGCGGCAGGCCUAACACAUGCAAGUCGCACGAGUGGCGGACGGGUGAGUAAUGUCUGGGAAACUGCCCGAUGGAGGGGGAUAACUACUGGAAACGGUAGCUAAUACCGCAUACCAUCGGAUGUGCCCAGAUGGGAUUAGGUAGUCGGUUGGGUAACGGCUCACCUAGGCGACGAGCCCUAGCUGGUCUGAGAGGAUGACCAGCAACACUGGUAGUGAGACACGUGCCAGACUCCUACGGGGGGCAGCAGUGGGGAAUAUUGCACAAGGGGCGCAAGCCGGAUGCAGCCAUGCCGCGUGUAUGAAGAAGGCCUUCGUGUUGUAAAGUACUUUCAGCGAGGAGGCGUUACUCGCAGAAGAAGCAUCGGCUAACUCCGUGCCAGCAGCCGCGGUAAUAC
rnacentral:rRNA from 1 species